AAAAACAUCGCCUCCUGAAAAAAUAGGAGGUCCAGCCUGCCCAGUGACCAAGUUAAACGGCCGCGGUACCCUAACCGUGCGAAGGUAGCGCAAUCACUUGUUCUUUAAAUGAGGACUAGUAUGAACGGCAUCACGAGGGUUACACUGUCUCCCACCUCUAAUCAGUGAAACUGAUCCCCCCGUGAAGAAGCGGGGAUAAAACUAUAAGACGAGAAGACCCCAUGGAGCUUUAAACUCAGUAUCAACCACCAAAAAUUACACCACACAAAACAGAUGGGCCUGAUUACUAGUUUUAGGUUGGGGUGACCGCGGAGUAUAACACAACCUCCAUGAUGAACGAUCUCCAUCUAAUCUAAGAGCGACUGCUCAAAGAAUCAAAAAAUUGACAUACAUUGACCCAAAUAAUUUUGAUCAACGAACCAAGUUACCCUGGGGAUAACAGCGCAAUCCAUUUCAAGAGCUCCUAUCGACAAAUGGGUUUACGACCUCGAUGUUGGAUCAGGGUAUCCCAGUGGUGCAGCCGCUACUAAAGGUUCGUUUGUUCAACGAUUAAAACCCUACGUGAUCUGAG
rnacentral:rRNA from 1 species